rnacentral:rRNA from 1 species
UACGGAGGGUGCAAGCGUUGUCCGGAAUCACUGGGCGUAAAGGGCGCGUAGGCGGCCUGGUAAGUAGGGGGUGAAAUCCUGCGGCUUAACCGCAGGGCUGCCUUCUAAACUGUCAGGCUUGAGCACGGUAGAGGCAGAUGGAAUUCCCGGUGUAGCGGUGGAAUGCGUAGAGAUCGGGAAGAACACCAGAGGCGAAAGCGGCGACCUGGACAGGUACUGACACUCAACUACGAAAGCGUGGGGAGCAAACAGG